rnacentral:rRNA from 1 species
GAUGAACGCUGGCGGCGUGCCUAAUACAUGCAAGUCGAGCGAACAGACGAGGAGCUUGCUCCUCUGACGUUAGCGGCGGACGGGUGAGUAACACGUGGAUAACCUACCUAUAAGACUGGGAUAACUUCGGGAAACCGGAGCUAAUACCGGAUAAUAUAUUGAACCGCAUGGUUCAAUAGUGAAAGACGGUUUUGCUGUCACUUAUAGAUGGAUCCGCGCCGCAUUAGCUAGUUGGUAAGGUAACGGCUUACCAAGGCAACGAUGCGUAGCCGACCUGAGAGGGUGAUCGGCCACACUGGAACUGAGACACGGUCCAGACUCCUACGGGAGGCAGCAGUAGGGAAUCUUCCGCAAUAGGCGAAAGCAUGACGGAGCAACGCCGCGUGAGUGAUGAAGGUCUUCGGAUCGUAAAACUCUGUUAUUAGGGAAGAACAAAUGUGUAAGUAACUAUGCACGUCUUGACGGUACCUAAUCAGAAAGCCACGGCUAACUACGUG